UGAUGGAGUUUAUAAAAUAUUAGCAUCAAUUAUAUUCUUUUUUUCUUUAACUGUCAAUUUUUUGACGUAUCUCAUAUAUUAUAGUAUUACAAUGAAGUGCUCUAAUUUAUCUGUUAAAAAGGUUUCAUCACUGUUUCCUGUAGUAAUUCUCAAUAAUGUUUUAAAUAGGAUAUAUUAAAUAGGAUAUAUUAUCUAAAGUAAACAGGCUUUUAAGCCUUCAAUUUGCCCCAAUUGACAUGAAGUGCGCAUUUCGAAAAGCCAGUGAACGCAGCGUCAUACGGGCACCCCCACCCCACUCCCCCGGAAACCCCCGGAUGAACCCGCAGGAAGGCGCGCGGCUGAAGAACUCUUGGACAGCUGGAAGGCAGCAGGAUCACGGUGAAGGCCUCUUCUGUAGGACGGGGGCGGAAACGUCACGUGGUCUCCGCAGAGACUGGUCAGUUAUUUGGAGACAACAUGCACAAAUAGUUCCUGGACUGAUCUUCUGCUAACUUUGUGAUGGAGAGGCUGUCAGGUUCAUCUGUUUCAGGGUCCUGCAUGCUGUCCCUCCAUGUUGGCUGUAGCAGUGGAUGGAACUUGCAAAAUGUACUGUUUUAGAGCCAACUGGGGCUCAGUGGUUAUUUUGAAGAUGCGUUUCUGACCAAAAACACUGUGGUGACCUCCUUUGAACUGCAUUCAUGGGGAAAUAGAACAUAUGGGAGAUGUGGAGCAGGUAAGUUUGUGGCAGCACCAGAGUCCUCCACCAAGUCUUCUGGCAAAGUAAAUGAGGAAGGAUCGCAGUCUGCCAUCGUGGAGUUUUGCUGAAAGGACUGAACAUGUUCCAUCCAUGCAUCCAUCUUCUUCCAUUCAUCCAGAACCAGGUUAUGAGGGCAGCAGUCUAAGCAAAGAUGCCCAGACUUCCAUCUCCUCCAGCUCCUCUUGGGGGACCCCGGGACCAGCUGAGAGACGUAGUCUCCCCAGCGUGUCCUGGAUCUCCCUUAGGGCCUCUGCCCUUAUUCCUGUUGGAGUUUUUUUCUAAUCCCUUAUGUUUCAAAAGUUUGCAAACAUACAUUUUGGUUGAAAUGAUGAGGAUCCGAGGAUGAAAUCAAGAAGGGACAACUUCAGGGAAAGGGACUGAACCAACUGAACAGCUUCCUCUCUUCAGCAGACACAUGUUCAGAGUACAUAUGUGUCAAAUAUUGACAUCCUCGCCGUUCAGGCCGGUGGCUGGAACAAGCGGAAGUCAGAAAAGCUGGAGCAGACGUGACCAGAAUGAUACCUCCAGGACCAAUCAAAAUGACCCAGAGAAAAACACUGAAGGGCUUUGUCUGAGCAUCAGGAAAACAAGGAUCAGCCGUGUCAUCAACAUAUGGUUAUGGUGCCAUGGUAAAGAACUAAAGGCUCUAUGAUGUCAUGCUGCUGACCAGACUGCGGUGGGUGAAGUCCAGCAGCACUGCGGGUCCUUGAAGUGUGGUUGAAGAGCUCUCCUCCCAGCUUUUGGAAGGUUCUGCCCCCCAAAGCAGCACAGAGUCAUUGAUGGGGAGAGGACAUGAGGACAUGUCUGCUGAGGAGGGGACUUUCUGCAGUUCAAGCCCCAGCUCCACCCCUAAAAAAAGGCUUAUAUAAAGGAAAACCUCAUUUCAACUUUGUACCAAUAAAUUACUUUUAAUUGAAAUGAGAGAUUUUUUUCGGAACUGCAUCAAUGAAGGUUUUUUCAACCUAAAUUUCAACAAUUACAUUGUUUUUUACCUCCGUUCAAGUUUCUACAACACUAGCUAAACAUUUCAGUGCUCACACCUGUGCUGAAGACACUUCUCAUUUUAUCUCAAACGUUUGGCCUUUGAUUUGUAUGUCCAACACCUUAGAAUAAAACACUGUCCUAUUAAACUCAUAUAAUAAAUGUGCAAUGCAUCUCCAAACCCUUUGUCAGGGUACAGACUACAUUUUAAUUGUUGCAAGACUGAAGUAAAAUGUAACAAAAUGACAAUGAGUUUUCUUAAAUUAGGGGUAAAUGACAUGAGAAAUUAAGAAUAUUAGAAGUGUGGAGUGAUACGUGUAUUUAUCAGUGUGUUAGCUGCAGGAAGGGUGCUGUCCUUGACACGUCCCUUUACUCAGACAGGAUGACAGGUAGGGAAGGGGGUAGCCGAUGAUCUGCUCCAGUAUCUUCAGCACUGAAGCUUCUGCUGCUCUUCUUCAGUUUGAUCUGAGAGCCAGACCAUGAUGCAGUUGGACUGGCUGAGCGGUAGGUUGCCAGCAGCUUCAGACGUGCUGAUGUGCCUUGAUAACGUCGUGGAUGUUAGGAAACCAAGUUAGAUCAGCUGAGAUGGGGAUGCCCAGGAAAGGGAAGCUAUAAACCCUCCUCUGUGCCUACUAUAGUCCAAGAUGACUUUCAUGGUCUUUUAUUUGCCGAUCAGCCUUACACUAUACAGUUUCCGCACUUGUCUACAAAGUUCACCUCAGUGACCCUUAAUAAGUCUUUGUUAUUGGCAAGUUACUUAUAUCCAAGACAUGGAGAUGUGCGUGGCGGGUCCAGUAUGAGCAGGAUUUGGGAAAUGGCAGUUGCCAAGAACUCACAUCAAGUUUCAAGGUUUUUCCCUUUAUUUGGAGGAAAAAAAGUUUUUGUCCUUUUUUUGUUGUGCAGAAUUGCAAACCUAGAAAGAAAUCAAGUUGAAAGAAUUGAUAUAAAUGCAUUUGCCCUUCUUUUGACCCUUCUACAUCGUGAAUAUUUGGUGGCUGUUGCUUGGCGACUGUGAGAUCUCUCCAUAGGAUUGACAUGGGCUGGGCCUCUCAAUGACCUUGAUAUGAUUGUUCUUCAGCCAUUCCUUGGUUGCCUUGGCUGUAGGUUCUAGGUCACUAACCUGUUGGAAGACCCAUCCAUGACUGAUUUGAAGGGUCCUGACUUAAGGAUGGUAGGAAGUUCUCACUCAGGAUUUUCCAUUAAUGGCUCCAUCAACGUGGUGACGUAGCUCUGUGCAGAAAAAUAGCCACAAAGCAUAAUGCUUCCACCUCCAUGUUUGACAUUGGUUAAGCUGUUCUUGGGGUCAUAGGUAGCAAUUCUCUUCCUCCAAACCCAAUGGUUGAGUUGAUGCCAAAGAGCUCAGUUUUGAGCCAAACAUUCCAUUAUGCAGAAUAAACUGAUAAAGCAAACCCUAUUUUUCAGUGUGUGAUUUUCAUUUUUUCAUAAAUCUUAGGACAAUUUAGAUGAUAAAAGUAAUAAAUAUAUGAAAACAGUAUAAUACAGUAAAUAUGUAAAUAUUUGAUGUGAUGAACAAUAAUUAUCUGAUUUAGACCCAACAUGGAAUUUUUUUGACACACACAAAUCAAGUUGUGUUAUUUAAUGCUCGUAAUUUAGACACAAAUGAUAGAAAUGUUAGGUUUAUAUGCCAAAGAGGCCAUGUGAAAAUGUUAGUGCAAAUACGCAUGCGUGCGCGCCGUGCACAUAAAGCCACCCCACCCCCACGUGUCCGCGCGCCGGUCGGUGGGUGUUGGGCGUCAAUAAAGGUAAUCUGGUUGUCGCGCUUUCUGCAUCUCUGCACGAGCUAAAGAAGUCUCAAAGCUGAAUCUGCCACGAGGCUCGACAACUUCUUGCAUCAACUGCAAAGCGGUGAUCGCUGUGGCCGCCAAAACAUCCAAAUGUCAGGCGGGCUACAAAGAUUUCAGGCCAAAAGAGAACGCCUCACAUGUGAUGAAGUGUCUGUAUUGGUGCCCUAAGUUACCUGAUCAAGCACAAACGUGCUUUGCCUGGAUGAAGGCCUUGUAUCAGGUUGGAAAAAGCAGCAGCCCUCCAGUGCUUCAGCCGUCCAACCAUCAACCGUUUCAGACAUCCAUCCUCUCGCCACUUCAGCCCCACAGCCGUCCACCAGUGUCCCAACUCCUGACAUUUUACUAUCCUGGGGGGGGGUCAUGGCCUCUACGCUGGAUUCCAAAAAAGAGACAAAAAAAACCCCGACCUCAACCCCCACUCUUAGUCAGACAUGUUUAUUUUUUUUAUUUACAAUAAUAAAUAUUAUACUAUGUACAUUUAUUUUGUUUUACUUUUUUAUACUUAGUUUCCUUAUUUCCUAUAAUAUUUAUUAGUAGUUGUUGUUUGUUGAUGUUAGUUCUUUUUAGCCCCUUUUAUGUUAAAAUAGACAUUAAUGAUCCAGAUGCUGAUAUUCUAAUAUAUAGACAGAUUUAUGAAUGAAUUAUUCUCAACAGAAGUUCAACACUAUUGUGGUAGCAGUUUGACUGUUUUACUGUAAUCUGUCGUGCCUCACCCACUGCCCAUCCCAUAAAAAAGAACAAUUCUACAUCAUUAACCUUUUUUUAUUUUUAUUCAUAUGGCACAUUCAUAAAUACAAAGUUAGAAAUCAUACCCCCCAUUUUUCUAACUUUAUCAAUGAGUUCAAACAAAACAUGAACACAAUAAGAAACUCUGACAAUAAGAAAGCAUUUAAA